AUGCCAUGGCGUGGACACUGCCUUUGCAAAGCCCUGUAUCUCUUCCAUGAUUCAUAGAGAGACUCCAAUUCAUGUUGUUAAAAACCAGAUAUCUCAUUUCUGAACUU
rnacentral:snoRNA from 1 species